UUCGCCUUCAUGAAGCUGGAAUUGCUAGUAAUGGCAGGUCAGCAUACUGCCGUGAAUACGUUCCCGGGCCUUGUACACACCGCCCGUCACACCAUGAGAGUUGGGAAUACCCGAAGCCUGUGAGCUAACUAUAUGAGGCAGCAGUCGAAGGUAGAAUCAAUGAUUGGGGUGAAGUCGUAACAAGGUAUC
rnacentral:rRNA from 1 species